GAGUUUGAUCCUGGCUCAGGAUGAACGCUGGCGGCGUGCUUAACACAUGCAAGUCGAGCGGAGCACAUCGUUGGAAUCCUUCGGGAGGAAGAAGGUGUGGCUUAGCGGCGGACGGGUGAGUAACGCGUGGACAACCUGCCCUAUGCAGGGGGAUAACAUCCGGAAACGGGUGCUAAUACCGCAUAAGCGCACAGUACCGCAUGGUACGGUGUGAAAAGCUGAGGCGGCAUAGGAUGGGUCCGCGUUGGAUUAGGCAGUUGGCGGGGUAACGGCCCACCAAACCGACGAUCCAUAGCCGGCCUGAGAGGGUGGACGGCCACAUUGGGACUGAGACACGGCCCAGACUCCUACGGGAGGCAGCAGUGGGGAAUAUUGCACAAUGGGGGGAACCCUGAUGCAGCGACGCCGCGUGGGUGAGGAAGUACUUCGGUAUGUAAAGCCCUACCAGCAGGGAAGAAAAUGACGGUACCUGACUAAGAAGCCCCGGCUAA
rnacentral:rRNA from 1 species